ensembl:rRNA 5S_rRNA 5S ribosomal RNA
GCCUGCGCCCUACUACCCUGAACAUGCUUGAUCUCCACUGAUCUCAGGAGCUAAGCAGGGUUGGGCCUGGUUCGUACUUGGAUGGGGGAAAUAAAGACUAGAAGGUA